CUCAGCAGAGGAAGCAGAGUCCUGUAGGGAAGCCGAUCAUCAGUGAGAGAGCAUUGCACAGAGAAACUCUGAAGUUCAGCUCACCAGGUUAAACUGGAUCAGAGUAUCAAGAUGGUGAUACUUGCUCUUCUUGCCCUCUUCUGCUUAAACAUUGGAACUCCUGGUGAAGCACAGGUGGUUGAUGGAAUCGACAGCACUGCGCCGGACAGCGAAGUGAAGAGGAAUGAAGCCCGAGAUUGCUCCAACCCGACCUGUGAGACAGGUAAUCUGGCCGACACAAUGGCACAUCUUGCAGCUCAUAAGGGUAAACCACGUGCCCCGUACAACACAGUGGACGCUGGCAAGAAGUAAUGGUGAAGAUCCAUUUUUCCUGAUGGGCUAUUCAACCAGGGUAGCCCAGUAACAUCACCCAGCUGUCCCCACCCACCCUGUAACAUUCAACUCUGAAUUGCAUCAUGAUACUUGCACUCCACAUCCUGAAGAACUGAUCUCCCAGAAAAGACCAAACGCAGUAAUGCCACGCGAGAGGAUGUUAUUUUGGCCAGAUACAACAACCAGCACCGUCUUCCCUCUUUCCUCUUUGUAUAAUGAAUGAGCGCGAGGGGAGAGGGCAGUGGGGAAAUAGCAGAACACACUUCGUCUAAUAAC